GGUGACAUAGUAUAGUGGUCAGUACGAGUCGUUGUGGCUACUCUUAGAGUUGUUCAGAACGUUUCCGACUAGACCCCGGUUCGAUUCCGGGUGUCGCCA